rnacentral:rRNA from 1 species
AUUGAACGCUGGCGGCAUGCCUUACACAUGCAAGUCGAACGGCAGCACGGGGGCAACCCUGGUGGCGAGUGGCGAACGGGUGAGUAACAUAUCGGAACGUGCCCUGGAGUGGGGGAUAACUAGUCGAAAGAUUAGCUAAUACCGCAUACGAUCUACGGAUGAAAGUGGGGGAUCGCAAGACCUCAUGCUCGUGGAGCGGCCGAUAUCUGAUUAGCUAGNGGUGGGUAAGGCCUACCAAGGCAUCGAUCAGUAGCUGGUCUGAGAGGACGACCAGCCACACUGGGACUGAGACACGGCCCAGACUCCUACGGGAGGCAGCAGUGGGGAAUUUUGGACAAUGGGCGCAAGCCUGAUCCAGCAAUGCCGCGUGAGUGAAGAAGGCCUGG